AGAGUUUGAUCCUGGCUCAGGAUGAACGCCGGUGGUGUGCCUAAUACAUGCAAGUCGUACGCACUGGCCCAACUGAUUGAUGGUGCUUGCACCUGAUUGACGAUGGAUCACCAGUGAGUGGCGGACGGGUGAGUAACACGUAGGUAACCUGCCCCGGAGCGGGGGAUAACAUUUGGAAACAGAUGCUAAUACCGCAUAACAACAAAAGCCACAUGGCUUUUGUUUGAAAGAUGGCCUUGGCUAUCACUCUGGGAUGGACCUGCGGUGCAUUAGCUAGUUGGUAAGGUAACGGCUUACCAAGGCGAUGAUGCAUAGCCGAGUUGAGAGACUGAUCGGCCACAAUGGAACUGAGACACGGUCCAUACUCCUACGGGAGGCAGCAGUAGGGAAUCUUCCACAAUGGGCGCAAGCCUGAUGGAGCAACACCGCGUGAGUGAAGAAGGGUUUCGGCUCGUAAAGCUCUGUUGUUGGAGAAGAACGUGCGUGAGAGUAACUGUUCACGCAGUGACGGUAUCCAACCAGAAAGUCACGGCUAACUACGUGCCAGCAGCCGCGGUAAUACGUAGGUGGCAAGCGUUAUCCGGAUUUAUUGGGCGUAAAGCGAGCGCAGGCGGUUGCUUAGGUCUGAUGUGAAAGCCUUCGGCUUAACCGAAGAAGUGCAUCGGAAACCGGGCGACUUGAGUGCAGAAGAGGACAGUGGAACUCCAUGUGUAGCGGUGGAAUGCGUAGAUAUAUGGAAGAACACCAGUGGCGAAGGCGGCUGUCUGGUCUGCAACUGACGCUGAGGCUCGAAAGCAUGGGUAGCGAACAGGAUUAGAUACCCUGGUAGUCCAUACCGUAAACGAUGAGUGUAAGGUGUUGGAAGGGUUUCCGCCCUUUCGUGGCCGGAGCUAACGCAUUAAGCACUCCGCCUGGGGAGUACGACCGCAAGGUUGAAACUCAAAGGAAAUUGACGGGGGCCCGCACAAGCGGUGGAGCAUGUGGUUUAAUUCGAAGCUACGCGAAGAACCUUACCAGGUCUUGACAUCUUGCGCUAACCUUAGAGAUAAGGCGUUCCCUUCGGGGACGCAAUGACAGGUGGUGCAUGGUCGUCGUCAGCUCGUGUCGUGAGAUGUUGGGUUAAGUCCCGCAACGAGCGCAACCCUUGUUACUAGUUGCCAGCAUUAAGUUGGGCACUCUAGUGAGACUGCCGGUGACAAACCGGAGGAAGGUGGGGACGACGUCAGAUCAUCAUGCCCCUUAUGACCUGGGCUACACACGUGCUACAAUGGACGGUACAACGAGUCGCAAGCUCGCGAGAGUAAGCUAAUCUCUUAAAGCCGUUCUCAGUUCGGACUGUAGGCUGCAACUCGCCUACACGAAGUCGGAGUCGCUAGUAAUCGCGGAUCAGCAUGCCGCGGUGAAUACGUUCCCGGGCCUUGCACACACCGCCCGUCA
rnacentral:rRNA from 1 species